AUACAACUUUCAGCAACGGAUCUCUUGGCUCUCGCAUCGAUGAAGAACGCAGCGAAAUGCGAUAAGUAAUGUGAAUUGCAGAAUUCAGUGAAUCAGCGAAUCUUUGAACGCACCUUGCGCUCCUUGGUAUUCCGAGGAGCAUGCCUGUUUGAGUGUC
rnacentral:rRNA from 1 species